UAAACAACAAAUGUAUAAAAAACAAAACAAAAAAAUAUAAGUAAAAUGCCAACUAAGAGUUAUAGAGUUAUUCAAUAAAGUCGACUUUUGCCAUGACCUGUAUAGUUUGCUCUGUUUUUUGUAUCUAUUUAAUAUUUUUAAAUUGAAAUCAAACCAUUAAGCCAUCUCAAAGGAAGGACAAAAAGAUUAGGUUAAUACAUAGACAUUGUUGGAGAUAUUUAGUUGAUAACACCGCAAACUGUCGAGAUAAAUGCCCGAAGAUACAUGACAUAUAUGUACAUAAUGAAGAAGGAAUGAUAAGAUAAGGUCAGAAAUAAUAAAUUUCAACUGGAAAAGUAAAUUCAUGGGCGUAUGAAAAAGUCAACAAUACAAUUUAUGUCCACAAAAAGGUAACACAUUUGAAACUAAUGUCAUAGAUAAUCCAUCAUGGAAUUAAAUAUGGAAAGAGAAUACUAUAUCUAUCAUAAAUAUAAAUGAUUGCGCAUUCUAUAAGCCUCUCAAAAUGAAUCCUAAAAAGAAUAAUUGGCGAACAAUUCCUUUUUGCCAUUUUCAUUUUUACCAUGCCCCACAAAUUGUCGUCUUAACACCUUGUAAAAUAUGGCCAGGAUAAAGCUCAAGCUGUGUGU